GGGCCUGCACAAGCGGUGGAGUAUGUGGCUUAAUUCGAUGCAACGCGAAGAACCUUACCUGGCCUUGACAUGCAUCUCUAAGCGUGUGAAAGCACGUGACCCCUCGGGGAAUUUGCACAGGUGCUGCAUGGCUGUCGUCAGCUCGUGUCGUGAGAUGUUGGUUAAGUCCCGCAACGAGCGCAACCCUUGUGUCCUGUUGCCACUUCCGCUAGCGCGGAAAGCACUCUGGACAGACUGCCUCGUCUCAACGAGGAGGAAGGUGGGGAUGACGUCAAGUCAGUAUGGCCCUUACGGCCAGGGCUGCACACGUACUACAAUGCCUGGUACAAUGGGAAGCAAUACCGUGAGGUGGAGCA
rnacentral:rRNA from 1 species